rnacentral:tRNA from 1 species
AGAAAUACGUCUGACGAAAGAGUUACUUUGAUAGAGUAAAUAACAGGGGUUUAAAUCCCCUUAUUUCUA